UACGAAGGGUGCAAGCGUUACUCGGAAUUACUGGGCGUAAAGCGUGCGUAGGUGGUUCGUUAAGUCUGAUGUGAAAGCCCUGGGCUCAACCUGGGAAUGGCAUUGGAAACUGGCGACCCAGAGUGCGGUAGAGGGUAGUGGAAUUCCCGGUGUAGCAGUGAAAUGCGUAGAUAUCGGGAGGAACACCAGUGGCGAAGGCGGCUACCUGGCCCACUCUUGACGCUGAGGCGCGAAAGCUAGGGGAGCAAACGGG
rnacentral:rRNA from 1 species